AGUGAAGGGCCUGGAAGAGAGAGAAGAGAGGGUUUAAAGGUUGAAGAGGGCCUGGAAGAGAGAGAAGAGAGGGUUUAAAGGUUGAAGGCCUGGAAGAGGAGUUGAGGGUUUGGAGGUUGAGGACCCGGUUGGUGGAGGGUUUGGAGGUUGAGGACCAGGGAGGUGGAGGGUUUGGAGGUUGAGGACCCGGUUGGUGGAGGGUUUGAAGCCAGCACCGCAUCGCCUGCUGAGAACGGAGCAUUCUUCUGAAUAGCCAAACAUUUCGUUAAUAGGAAAGGCGAUGAAGCGAAUAAUGUGAAUUAAAAAAGCGACAAUGGGGCUGAAUUACUUGUACUGCUCAUUCUAAUGGAAAUAAAGUAUUUUAAACGUGGAUCUAUUGACGUUAGUAUAAAGGUACACCUUUCCUUUUGAUGGUUUUUCAUUUACAAUAUGACUUUACAAUCAGUCACAUUUAUGCUUGGCUGGUGACCUUUAACUAAAGAUGAUAUGUUAGUGGUGUAUUUAUAUAUAAUUUUUAUCUCCAAAAAAAGGAUACCGAUAAAUUAAUUUCUCAUUAACCUCUG
ensembl:lncRNA